rnacentral:rRNA from 1 species
GAGCGCAGCGAGUCAGUGAGCGAGGAAGCGGCCGCAUAACUUCGUAUAGCAUACAUUAUACGAAGUUAUCAGUCGACGGUACCGGACAUAUGCCCGGGAAUUCGGCCAUUACGGCCGGGGUUGUUUAAAAAGUCAACUGUCAAAAACUAAAGCUCAACUUUAGGCAGGCAGUUGAAACUUUUAGACUAGAGUAUGGCAGAGGUAGAGGGAAUUACUGGUGUAACGGUGAAAUGUGCAGAUAUCAGUAAGAACACCAAUGGCGAAAGCACUCUACUGGACCAAAACUGACACUCAGAGACGAAAGCUAGGGGAGCGAAUAGGAUUAGAUACCCUAGUAGUCCUAGCUGUAAACGAUGGAAACUAAAUAUUGCGUUUUUAAAAUGCAGUAUUGUAGCUAACGCGUUAAGUUUCCCGCCUGGGGAGUAUGCUCGCAAGAGUGAAACUCAAAGAAAUUGACGGGGGCCCGCACAAGCGGUGGAGCAUGUGGUUUAAUUCGAUGCAACGCGAAGAACCUUACCGGGGUUUGACAUACUAUGCAUUUUUUGGAGACGAAAAAGUUUAAACAUAGAUACAGGUGGUGCAUGGCUGUCGUCAGCUCGUGUCGUGAGACGUAGGGUUAAGUCCUGUAACGAGCGCAACCCUUAUUGUUAGUUGCUUUCAGGAAACUAGCAAGACUGCCAGUGAUAAGCUGGAGGAAGGUGAGGAUGACGUCAAGUCAGCAUGCCCCUUAAAUCCCGGGCUACACACGUGCUACAAUGGUUAAGACAAAGAGAUGCUAACUUGUGAAAGUACAGCGAACC